GAGGGCUUAGCUUAAUUAAAGUAAUUGAUUUGCGUUCAGUUGAUGCAAAAUAGAGUUUGCAGUCCUUA
rnacentral:tRNA from 1 species